AUGACACGAAGGUCUUUUCUUUGAUAUGCGGAUUUUCGACGGCAUCUUUGUCUCCAAGCAGAACUGGUCUGGUUUUGAGGAGGUCUUGUAUUUGACUCUGGGGAAUUUUUGUUAGUGUUUGUGGGAGAAAUAUUU